CCUUAGUAUUAAAAAUUCAACACAUAAUUUUUCAAUUUAUGAAACAAUACCUAACACUAACACCAUGUUUGGUAGGCAUGAAUGGUUAUUCCAUUCAUACCUUAUUUAGCGCAACAGUCUUAUUCCAUUGUUUGGUUUAACUGAAUGAGUGAAACGGCCGGGUAGUAUUACGGCCUCAUUCCAGCCUCUCACGGAAUACCCAUUUCGUGCUACAACCAAAGAAUAGCCAUUCCAACCUUUCAUUGAAUAGCCACCAAAUUUUUUCCCAAAAAUACCCCAAACCAAAAACAUCAUAUUAACCACAAUUUCAGUUUAUGAAUUAUAGCUAUGGAAAAAAAAUCAAGAAGAAACAAAAAUUGAAAUCCAAUCGUUACGAUUCAAUGCUUUCCCAACUUCGAUUUCAUCCAACGAUGUUGUUUUCACAACAUCAACACAAGGUCUCCUCCACUCUGACAUGUUCCAAGCCCAGUAAUGAAAUUUAGAAAACAAAACAACCCAAAUUAGAAAGAGAAAAAAAAACUAUGAUGGGUGAUGGAUUUAUAGGUUUUGGUGGGUUUUUAGGACAAACUAAACAAAAAGUUGAAAGAGUGGGUGGAGAUAAAGCUUUGUAGAGGAAGAUGCUUAAGAAAAAGAGAG
rnacentral:lncRNA from 1 species